CCUAACCAGGUUCACUCCUGACGACCGGUCAUCGCGACUUUUCCGAAGCUCUCAAGCUUGUCGACUCCAGCAAAGCCCCAACCUUCUCAACUUCGCCAAAGCCCUAGGCUUCUCGCCUGCGCGUUCCUCAAUUUUGCCACUGUCUCGUCUCCCUUACACUCGAAGAGUCGUCGGGGCUUCGCCAAAGCCCUAACAUUCAGCAUUUUUCUUCGUGCCUGUGAAAGGUACGUUGUGUCUAAAUAUAUUUCAUUUAAAAGGUUUGAUGUACAGAUCCAUUAGGUCAUAGAUCCCAUCUUUUUAGUUGCUGCAAGUUAAAACUAUUAUAUGAAUGUUGAUUGUAUUGAUAUUAUUUCCAAGCCUCGCUUCCCAGUAGAACAAAGGUUUUGCAUGUUCGAAUUGCUACCUGUGGUCUUAUAACUUUGAAGCUCCAUUAUUUCCGUCCAUCAUAUUGGCACUGGGACUAGAGUUAGUUGGAUUUGGAGUUUGAGCAAACUAAAUAUAUUUUAGGCUGCGAGUCACUGAGAUCAUAUUAUCGAGCAUUUUAUAUUUAUUUUCUGAUGGAAAAUGCAUUCUUUACUGCACAAUUUGAUAUAGACCCAAUAAAAUUUCUGAUGAGAAAUGAAUUUUGUUAAUUUUAAGAAUUUUAUAAUUCUUUAAAUUGGUAAAAUAUGUUGAUUUCAACCCAUAUAUUCUAAUAAAUUAUUGAGGUUAUAAGUUCCUUGUAUGAAUUAUAUUCAUAUGUGAGUUUUAUGUUAAUUAGUGUUUCAUGUAUGAUUGAUAGCUCAUGCUUAUUGUACGCAUAGAAAGGACAGAAAGGAGAAAAAAAGAGAAUUAAACAUAAGUAGGUUCUUAGCUACUUUGUCAGCAAAUUAGCCCCUAUUGAAUGGGACUAUACUGAUUUUGCCCCAAAUGAGAAUUUAGUGUAAUCUCAUUCGUUUGAUAAUUUUCUAUAAAUAUAUAGGAGGGUUGUUUGACCUUUAAAAUAUCAAAUACUGCCCAAUUUAGCAUAAUUUCAGCUUAUAAUUUGCUGAAAUUAUCUUAAAACACCAUUUAAAGAUUCAGAAAAUUCUCAAAUAUCAUUUCAGAACUAUUUUUCUGGAAUUUCAUAUCAUUUUAGAUAUUUUUUACUUCAAAUGACUUGAGAUACAUGAAUAGUAAGAGGGCUUAGACACAUUCUUAAUAUGGGCCAAAUUUAUAGCCUUAUUCAGAAUAAAUGUAACUCAACCUUAAAAGGAUUUUUCAUGCGAAUUGACUCUAAAACUUUCGAUAAAUUUUACAUAAGAGUUUUUUAACCUUCAAAUACAUGGAAUUGGGGGCUAAAUGAUAAAAGACCCAAUUUGGCAAAAUUUCCAUUUUGAAUAUGUCGAAAACAUUGUAAAAUGUAUCUAUGACUAAAUUUUUUUUUCAAAACUCUUAGACCUCAAUCGACAACUAAAUUCCUAGAAUUUUAGUCCAUCUUAGGUAUUUUUUGGCUUCAAAUGAUAGUAGCUUCACAAGUUUUUUUUUUUUAAAUGAUGUUACCUCGAUUCUCGGUAGGCACUGUAAUCAGUGUAACUCAACGGUCAAAAAGUUUCUUUUUUUAAUCAAAAUUCCUUCCAAACUUUCUAAAAAUAUAUGAAAGGCUUUUUUGACAUUCAAAUCAAUGAAAUUAUAGGCUAAAUGAUAAAAGAUCCUGUCACAAUUUCAUCUUACAAUAUGCUGACUUCUUCUUCAAAAUAUCAUUUUAAGGUUUAAAAUAAUUCUCAAAACUCUUAAAUCUCAAUUUGGAACCAACUUCCUAAACUUUUAUAUCUUUUUAAGGUAUUUCUUUGCUUCAAAUGACCCAAAUUACGUGGAUUUUAAAAGAGGUUAUACCGAUUCUUAAGAGGGGCAAAUACCAGUGUGACCUUAUUCAAAAUUAAUGUAGUCCAACCUGUUUAUUUAAUUUUAUUUUUAAAUGAACUAAAUUAUAAUGAUUUUGAAUAUACAUUUAAUAACUUCAAUUAAAGUAAAAUCAAUGAAACUCGAGUUUCUCUUAUCCAGAUUCAUUCUAAAUCUUUUUAUUAAUAUAUAUAAGGGUUUUAUGACCUUGAAAUCCAUUAAAUUAGGGGUUAAAUAAUAAAAGACCCUUAAUUUUGCAUAAUUUCAGCUUUUAAUGUGCUGAAAUCACCGUAAAAUGCAAUCUAUUAUUCAAUUUUUUUUAACUCUUAAAUCUAGAUUCCUAAGGGUUCAUACUAUAGGUAUUUUUGGCAUCAAAUGACCUUCGUUAUAUUGGUUUUGAAUUGAGUCACACUUAUUCCCAAUGUUUGCUGAAAUUAUUAUAACCCCAUUAAGAAACAAUUUAAUUCAAUGUCGAGGAGUUUUUUUUUAUCCCAAAUUCAUUCUAAAGCUUUCUAAAAAUGGAUUAUUUGACCUAAAAAUCUAUGAAAUUUGGGGCUAAAUGAUAAAAUCCACCCAAUGUAGCACAAUUUCAACUAAUUUUGCAUUGAAAUCACCUUAAAAAUUUACAAAAGUCAUUUAAGCUUUUAAUUUAACAGUAAUAUUCUCAUGAUUCCAGUGCAACCGCAUAUGCCUCUCCUUAUCCACUGAAUCAUAUACAUGCAAAACAUUCUGCCCUUAUAAUAAAGUCUGAUUGACUUCCUUUUGCAUGUGUAUGGCAGAGGAGUAUAGCAUGGAUUAAUCAAACAGUAAUGUCGAUAGUUGAGGCACCAACAAAGAUUUUGAUGACUUAGGUAUUAGAUACUUCUGAUAGACUUCAGAAGAACAAACAAAAGGGAAGAAGAGGAUGAAGGGUGCAAUAAAAACAUGGAACAAGAAUCUUCCAAACGCCCGAAUCAUGGUCUGCAUCUCUGCCUACGAAGAAUCUUAACAAGUGGUACUUCUGCAUCAUGUUGGACCGCAUUUGUCUUUGUUUGUUUGAGUUUAAUCUUAUGUCUGUUUAUUUUAUUUUUCUGAGACUUGCGUGCUAUAAAUGUGUUCGAUUCAGCAUAGCUCACUGGCUCAUUUCCUUCUAAUUUCUCUUCUUCUUUAUGGUUGUGAUAGAAUCAACUAAUGGUGUUACAGCUUUAGGUUCCUGAUUGAAUUGUGAUCAGCCGAAGCUAUUCGAGCUUUGGGGAUUCAAGAGAUGUAGUAUAGUAAAUUGUAGCUUGAUUUCUAUAAUUACUUGGUGAGAUGAGAUUUCUAUAAUGUAAGAUGAGAUUUAUUGAUGCCAUUUAAUCUUGCAUCAAAUGGAUUACAAAUGUGUAGAAUGUACAGAAUGGUGCUACUCUUUGUUACAUUCUUAACUAUGUAUCUCUGCAUUAAUAUAUCUCUGCAUUAUUUACCAUAA